UACAGAGGGGGCAAGCGUUGUUCGGAAUUACUGGGCGUAAAGCGUGCGUAGACGGUUAUUUAAGUCGGGUGUGAAAGCCCCGGGCUCAACCUGGGAAUUGCAUUCGAGACUGAAUAGCUGGGGUACGGUAGAGGGAAGUGGAAUUUCCGGUGUAGCGGUGAAAUGCGUAGAUAUCGGAAGGAACAUCAGUGGCGAAGGCGACUACCUGGCCUGUUCUUGACGCUGAGGCGCGAAAGCUAGGGGAGCAAACGGG
rnacentral:rRNA from 1 species